GGGUUGUGAGGUUAAGCGACUAAGCGUACACGGUGGAUGCCCUGGCAGUCAGAGGCGAUGAAGGACGUGCUAAUCUGCGAUAAGCGCCGGUAAGGUGAUAUGAACCGUUAUAACCGGCGAUUUCCGAAUGGGGAAACCCAGUGUGAUUCGUCACACUAUCAUUAACUGAAUCCAUAGGUUAAUGAGGCGAACCGGGGGAACUGAAACAUCUAAGUACCCCGAGGAAAAGAAAUCAACCGAGAUUCCCCCAGUAGCGGCGAGCGAACGGGGAGGAGCCCAGAGCCUGAAUCAGCAUGUGUGUUAGUGGAAGCGUCUGGAAAGGCGCGCGAUACAGGGUGACAGCCCCGUACACAAAAGCGCAUGUGCUGUGAGCUCGAUGAGUAGGGCGGGACACGUGGUAUCCUGUCUGAAUAUGGGGGGACCAUCCUCCAAGGCUAAAUACUCCUGACUGACCGAUAGUGAACCAGUACCGUGAGGGAAAGGCGAAAAGAACCCCGGCGAGGGGAGUGAAAAAGAACCUGAAACCGUGUACGUACAAGCAGUGGGAGCCCCACCACCAAAGCAUUCUCUGGUGUUGAAGGCC
rnacentral:rRNA from 1 species